GUCAGAAGCCAUCUUUUUGGAGAAUCUGUGAAGGGUUAUUUUGUGUCCCAUUGAGGCCUAUGUGGAAAAAUGGAAUAUCCCCAGAUAAAAACUAGAAGAAACUAUCUGCAAAACUGAUUUGUGAUGUGUGGAUUCAUCUCAGAGAGUUAAAAUUUCCUGUGAUUCAGCAGGUUACAAACACUCUUUUUGUAGAAUAUGUGAAGAGAUAUUUGGGAGCCCUUUGAGGCCUAUGAAGAAAAACGAAGUAUCCCCAGGUUGGAAACAUUCUUUUUGGACAAUCUGUGAAAAAAAGUUGGGAGUUCAUUGAGGCAUACAGGAGACAACAGAAUAUCCCCACUUAAAAACUAGAAAGAAGGCAUCUGUGAAACUUGUGAUGUGUGGAUUCAACUCACCAGCAGGUUGGAAACACUCUUUUUGGACAAUCUGCGAAGGGACAUUUGAAAGCCGAUUGAGUUUUAUGGAAAAAAACUGAAUAUCCGCAGACAAAAACGAAAAAGGAGCAAUCUGUGAAACUGCUUUGUGACGUGUGGAUUCAUCUCACAGAGUUAAAAGAUCCUUUUGAUUCAGCAGGUCAGAAACACUCUUUUUAAGAAUCUAUGAAGGGACAUCUGGGAGCCUAUUGAGGACUACAUGGAAAAAAAGGAAUAUUCCCUGAUAAAAACUGGAAAGAAAUUAUCUGUGAAACUGCUUUGUGAUAUGUGGAUUCAUCUAACAGAAUUAAACAUUUCUUUUUAUUCAGCAGAUUGGAAACACUCUUUUUGGAUAAUCUGCAAAGGAACAUUUAAAAGCCUAUUGAAGCCUAUGGGGAAAAACCAAAUAACGCCAGACAAAAAAUAGAAAAAAGCUGUCUGUGAAACUGCUCUGUGAUGUGUGGAUUCAUCUCACAGAUUUAAAACUUUCCUUUGAUUCAGCAGGUUGGAAACACUUUUUUGGGAGAAUCUGCGAAGUUAAAUUUAGGUGUCCAUUGUGUCCUAGAGGAGAAAAUAGGAUAUCCCAAGUUAACAACUAGAAAGAAGCUAUCUGUGAAACUGCUUUGUGAUGUGUGGAUGCAUCACAGAGUUAAAACUUUAUUUUGAAUCUACAGGUUACAAACACUCUUUUUAGAGAAUAUGUGAAGGGACAUUUGGGAGUCCCUUGAGGCCUAUGGAAAAAAACUGAAUAUCCCCAGAUAAAAACUAGAAAGAACCUAUCUGUGAAACUGCCUUGUGAUGCAUGGAUUCAUCUCACAAAGUUAAACCUUUCUUUUGAUUCAGCAGGGAGGAAACACUCUUUUUGGAGAAUCUGCGAAGGGACUUUUGGGAGCCCAUUGGGUCCUAUAGGGAAAAACCAAAUAUCCUGAGAUAAAAACAGGAAAGAAGCUAUCUCUGAAACUGCUUUGUGAUAUGUGAAUUCAUCUCACAGAGUUAAACCAAUCCUUUGAUUCAGCAGGUUUGAAUGACUCUUUUUGGAGAAUCUGUGGAGGGACAUUUGGGAGCCCAUUGAGGCCUAGGGGCAAAACGAAAUAUCUCCAGAUAAAAACUAGAAAGAAGCUCUUUGUGAAACUGUUUUGUGAUGUGUUGAUUCUAUAACAGAGUUAAACUUUUCUUUUGAUUCACCAGGUUGGAAACUCUCUUUUUGCAGAAUCUGUGAAAAGACAUUUAGGAGCCGAUUGAGGCCUAUGGUGCAAAACCAAAUAUCACCCCCCUAAAAACUAGUAAGAAGCUAUUUUUAAAACUGCUUUGUGGUGUGUGGAUUCAUCUCACAGAGUUAAACAUUUCUUUUGUUUCAGAAGGUUGGAAACACUCUUUUUGGAGAAUCUGUGAAGAGACAUUUGGGAGUCCAUUGAGACCUUUAUGGUCAAACAAAUAUCCCCAGAUAAAAACUAGAAAAAAGUAAUCUGUGAAUUGGCUUUGUGAUUUUUGGAUUCAUCUCACCCAGUUAAACUUUUCUUUUGAUUCAGCAGUUGGAAAUCCUCUUUGGGGAAUCUGCAAAAAGACAUUGCAUAGCCCAUUGACAUUUAUGGGCAAAAACUGAAUAUCUCCACAUAAAAACUAGAAAGAACCUAUCUGUGAAACUGAUUUGUGAUGUGUGGAUUCAUCUUACGGAGUUAAACGUUUCUUUUGUUUUCACAGUUUGGAAACACUCUUUUUGAGAAUCUGUGAGAGGAUAUUUCAGAGCCCAUUGAGGCUUAGGGGUAAAAUUGAAUGUCCACAGAUAAUAAUUAGAAAGAACAUAUCAGUGAAACUGCUUUGUGAUGCAUGGAUUCAUCUCACUGAGUUAAGUAUUUCUUUUGAUUCAGCAGAUUUUAAACACUCUUUUUGGAGAAUCUGCAAAAGGACAUUUAGUAGCCCAUUGAGGCAUAUGGGCAAAAACAGAAUAUCCUCAGAUAAAAAUGAAAAAGAAACUGUCUGUGAAACUGCUUUGUGAUGUAUGGAUUCAUGUCACAGAGUUAAACCUUUCUUUUGAUUAAGCAGGUUUGAAAAACUCUUUUUGGAGAAUCUGUGAGAGACAGUUAUGAGCCCAUUGAGGCCUAGGAGGAAAAACCAAACAUCCCCAGAUGAAAACUAGAAGGAAGCUAUCUUCAAAAUUGGUUUGUUUUGUGUGGAUUCAUCUCACAGAAUUAACACUUUCUUUUGAUUCAGCACUUUGGAAACACUGUUUUUGGAGAAUCUGUGAAGGGACACUUUAGAGCCCAUUGAGUUCUAUGGGGAAAAACAAAAUAUCCCCCGAUCAAAACUAGAAAGAAGCUAUCUGUGCAACUGCUUUGUGAUAUUUGGAUUCAUCUCACAGAGUUAAACUUUUCUUUUGAUUCAGCAGGUUGAAAACACUAUUUUUGAGACUUUGCAAAGGCAUAUUUGGGGGACCAUUAAAACUUAUAGGGCAAAGCUGAAUAUCCUUAUACAAACCUAGAAAAAGGGUGUCUAAAAAACUGGUUUGUGAUAUGUAGAUUCAUCUCACAGUGUUUAACGUUUCUCUUGAUUCAUCAGGUUGAAAACACUCUUAUUGGAGAAUCUGCAAAGGGACAUUUGGGAGCCCUUUCAGGCCUAUGGGGAAAAGACAAAAAUCCCCAUUGAAAAACUAGAAAGAAACAAUCUUUGAAACUGCUUGGUGAUGUGUGGAUUCAUCUCACAGUUAAAAAUUAUUUUCAUUCAGCAACUUGGAGAAGCUAUUUGUGUAGAAUCUGCGAAGAAACUUAUGUGAGCCCAUUGAGGCCUAUUGGGAAAAACAAAUAUCCCCAGAUAAAAACUAGAAAGAAGCUACUUGUGAAACUGCUUUGUGAUGUGGGGAUUCAUCUGACAGAGUUAAACCAUUCGUUUGAUUCAGCGGGUUGGAAACACUGUUUUGGAAAAUUGGUGAAUGGACAUUUGGGAGCCUUUUUAGGUCCAAGUGAAAAAAGUGAAUAUCUCCUAAUAAAAACUAGAAUGACACUAUAUAUGAAACUGCUUCAUGAUAUGUGGAUUCAUCUCACAGAGUUAAACUUUUCUUUUUUCAUCACUUUGAACACACUGAUUUUGGGGAAUCUGUGAAUGGAAAUUUGGAAGCCCAUUGAGGCUUUUGGGGAAAAACCAAACUUUCCUGGAUGAAAACUAGAUAGUAGCUGUAUACUAAACUACUUUGUGAUGUGAGGAUUCAUCUCAUAGAGUAACCCCUUUCCUUUGAUUCAGCAGAAUGGAAGCACUCUUUUUGGAGAAUCUGGGAAGGGACACUUUGUAGGCCAUUGACACCUAUGGGGGCAAAACUGAGUAGUCCCUGAUAAAAAGCACAAAGAAGAUAUAUUGAAACUGCUUGUGAUGUGUGGGUCAUCUCACAGAGGUAACUCUUUAUUUCGAUUCAACAGGUUAAAAAGACACUUUUUGGAAAAUAUGUGAGGAAACAUUGGGAGCCCAUUAAGGGCUAUGUUGAAGAGCCAAGUAUCCCCACAUAGAAACUGGAAAGAAGUUAUCUGUGAAACUGCUUUGUGAUGUGUGGAUUCAUCUCACAGAGUUAUAACUUUCUUUCAAUUCAGGAAUUUGGAAAAUUUUUUUGGAGUAUCUGUGAAGGGACAUUUGGGAACCCAUUGAGGACUAUGGGUAAAAACAGAAUAUUCCCAGAUAAAAACUAGAAACAAGCUAUCUGUGAAACAGCUUUGUGAUGUGUGGGUUCAUCUCACAUAGUUAAAUAUUUCAUUUGAUUCAGUAGGUUGGAAAGACUCUUUUUGGAGAUACUGCGAAGGGAUAUUUUGGAGCCCAGUGAAGACUAUGGGGAAUAACCCAGUACCCACAGAGAAAAACUAGAAAGAAGCUUUGUGAAAAACUGCUUUGUGAUGUGUGGAUUCAUUUCACAGUGUUAAACCUUUCUUUUUACUCAGCACGUUUGAGAACACUCUUUUUGGAACAUCUAUGGAUGGACUUUUUGGAGCCCUUUGGGGACUAUGGUAACAAAAACCCUAAUAUCCUGAGACAAAACAAGAAAGAAGUUAUUGUGAAAGUGCUUUGUGAUGUAUGGAUUCAUCUCAAAGAGUAAAACUUUUCUUUUGAUGCAGAAGUUUGGAAACACUCUUUAAAGUAUCUGCAAAGGGACAUUUGGGAACCAAUUGAGGCCUACGGUGAAAAGAAUAAUAUAUCCAGAGAAAAACUAGAAAGAAGAUAUCUGUGAAACUGCUUUGUGAAGUGUGGAUUAACCUCACAGACUUAACGCUUUCUUUUGAUUCAGCAGGUUGGAAAAACUGUUUUUGGAGAAUCUGCAAAGGAACAAUUAGAAUCCCAUUGAAGCCUAAGGGCAAAGGAAUAUCCUCAGAGAAAAACUAGAAAGAAGCUAUCUGUGAAAUUGCCUUGUGAUGUGUGGAUUGACCUCACAGAGUUAAACCUUUCUUUUGAUUCAGCAGGUUGGAAACACUCUUUUUGGAGAAUGUGUAAAGGGAUAUCUGGGUGUCCACUGAGGCCUAUGGGGCAAAACUGAGUAUUCCCUGAUAAAAAGAACAAAGAAGAUACCUUGAAACUUCUUGUGAUGUGAGGGUCUUCUCACAGAGGUAAAGCUUAUUUUGAUUCAACAAGUUGGAAAGACUACUUUUGGAGAAUCUGUGAGGAAAUAUUUGGGAUCCCAUUAAGGCCUAUGUGGAAGAGCUGAAUAUCCCCAGAUAGGAACUAUAAAGAAGCUAUAUGUGAAACUACUUUUUGAUGUGUGGAUUAAUCUCACAGAGUUAAAACUUUCUUUUGAUUCAGCAGUUUGAAAACACUCUGGAGAAUCUGUGAAGGGACUUGGGAUUCCAUUGAGUUUUACGGGAAAAAACUGAACAUCCCCAGAUUAAACCUAGAAAGAAACUAUGUGUGAAACUGCUUUGUGAUCUGUGGAUUCACCUCAAAGAGUUAAACGUUUCCUUGGAUCCAGCAGAUGGGAAUAAUCUUCAUGAAGAUUCUGUAAAGGGACAUUUGGGAGCUCAUUCAGGCCUAUGGGGAAAAAAUGAAUAUCCCCAGUUAAAAACUACAAAUAAGCUACCUGUGAAACUUCUUAUUGAUGUGUGAGCUUAUCUCACAAAGUUUAACAUUUCCUUUGAUUCAGAAAGUUGAAAGCAUUCAUUCUGGAGAAUUUGCAAAGGGACGUUUGGGAGCCUUUUGAGGCCUAGGUGGCAAAACCAAAUAAUCUCAGAUAUAAACUAGAAAGAAGCUAUCUCUGAAACUGCUUUGUGAUGUGUUGGUUCAUCUCACUGAGUUAAAACUUUCUUUUGAUUCAGCAGCAUGAAAACACUGUUUUUGGAGAAUCUACCAAGGGACAUUUGAGAGCCCAUUGAAGCGUAUGGGGAAAAACAGAAUAUCACCAGCUAAAAACUUCAAAGAAGCAAUCUGUGAAACAAAUUUUUAGUUUGUGAUGUGUGGAUUCAUCUCACAGAGUUAAAACUUUCUUUUGAUUCAGAAAGAUGUGGGCAAUCUUUUUGGAGAAUCUGCAAAGGGACAUUUUGUAGUCCAUUGAUGUCUAUGGGGAAAAACUGAGUAGUCUCUGAUAAAAAGUACAAAGAAUAUAUCUUGAAGCCGCUUCUGAUGAGUGGGUCAUCUCACAGAGGAAAGCUUUCUUUUGAUUCAACAGGUUAAAAAGUCACGUUUUGGGGAAUUUUGAAGAAUCAUUUGGGAGCCCAUUAAGGCCUAUGUUGAAGAGCAGAAUAUCCCCAGAUAAAAGCUAGAAAGAAGCUAUCUGUGAAAGUACUGUGUGAUGUGUGGAUUCAUCUCACAGAGUUAAACCUUUCUUUUGAUUCAGCAUGUUGGAAACACUCUUUUUGCUGAAUCUGCAUAAAGACAGUUUGGAGCUCAUUGAAGUCUAUAGGUAAAAACCAAAUAUUCCUGGAUAAAACCUAGAAACAAGCUAUCUGUGAAACUGCUUUAUGAUGUGUGGAUUCAUCUCACAGAGUUAAACCUUUCAUCUGAUUCAGUAGGCAGGAAACAAUCUUUUUGGAGAUUCUGCAAAGGGACAUUUUGGAGCCCAAUGAUUACUAUCUGGAAUAACCAAGUAUGCACAGAGAAAAACUAGAAAGAAGCUUCGUGUAAAACUGCUUUGUGAUGUGUGGAUUCAUUUCAUACUGUUAAACAUUUCUUUUUAUUCAGCACAUUGAAAAUACUCUUUUUGGAAAAUCUACAGAUGGGCAUUAUGGAGCCCUUUAUGGACGAUAGUAACAAAAAAAACCUAAUAUCUUAAGAUUAAAAACUAGAAAGAAGCUAUCUGUGAAACUGCUUUGUGAUGUGUGGAUACAUCUCAAAGAGAUUGGAAACACUCUUCUUAAAGAAUCUGUGAAGGGAAAUUUCAAAGCCUAUUGAGACCUUUGGGGGAAAACGGAAUAUCCUUAGAUGAAAACUACAAAGAAGCUAUGUGUAAAACUGCUUUGGGAUGCAUGCAUUAAUCUCACAGAGGUUAACCUUUCCAUUGAUUCAUCAGGUUGAAAACGAUCUUUUUGCAGAAUCUGCAAAAAGACAUUUUUGAGCCCUUUGAGGCCUUUGGGGAAAAAUCGAAUAUCCUCAGAUAAAAACUAGAAAGAAGCUAUUUGUGAAACUGCUUUGUGAUGGGUGGAUUCAUCUCCCAGAGUUAAAACAUUCUUUUGAUACAUCAGUUUGGAAACACUCUUUUUGCAGAAUUGGUGAAGAAACAUUUGGGAGCCCAUUGUGGCCUAUGGAGAAAAGCUGAAUAUCUGCAGAGAAAAAGUAAAAUUGAAGCUAUAUGUGAAACUGUUUGUGAUUUGUAGAUUCCUUUCACAGAGUUUAAACUUUGGUUUGAUUUAUCAGGUUGGAAACAGUCUUUUUGGAGCAUCUGUGAGGGGACAUUUGGGAAGCCAUUGAUGUUUGUGGGGAAAAAAACAAACAUCCCCCAAAUAAAAUCUAGAAAGAAGGUAUCUGUGAAACGUUUUUUGAUUUGUGGACUCUUCUCACAGAAUUAACCCUUUCUCUUGAUUCAGCAGAUUGGAAACACUUUUUUUGGAGAAUCUGUGAAGGGACUUUAGGGAGCCCAAUGAGGCCUACAGGGAAUAACCUAACAUCCCAAGAUAACAACAAAAAAGAAGCUACCUUUGAAACUGCUUUGUGAUGUGUUGAUUCAUCCCACAGAGUUAAACCUUUCUUUUGAUUCAGUAGGUUAGAUACACUCUUUGGAGAAUCUGGAAGGGACAUUUUGUAGCCUAUUGAAGUUUAUGGGACAAAACUGAAUAUCCCCAGAUAAGAACUAGAAAGAAGUUCUCUGUGAAACUGCUUUGUGAUAUGUACAUUCAUCUCACAGAGUUAAACCUUUCUUUUGAGUAAGCAGGAAAGAAACAUUAUUUUGGAGAAUCUGCAAAGGAAUAUUUCAAAACCCAUUGAGGCCUAUGGGGAAAAACUGAAUAUCCCCAGAUAAAAACUAGAAAUAAGCUAUAUUCAAAACAGCUUUGUAGUGUGUGGAUUCAUCUUAUAGAGUGAAACAUUUGUUUUGAUUCAGCGGGUUGAAAACACUCUUUCUGGGAAUCUGCAAACUGACAAUUAAGAGCCCAUUGAGGACUAUGAAGAAAAAAAAUCAUCCCCAGAUCGAAACUAGAAGGAAGAUAUCUGUGAAACUGCUUUGUGAUGUGUGGAUUCAUCUCACAGACUUAAACCUUUCUUUUCAUUCAGCAGGUUGGAAACACUCUGUUUUGAGAAUCUGCAAAAGGACAUUUGGGAGCCCAUUGAGACCUAUAGGGAAAAAUUGAACAUUUCCUGAUAAAAGCAAGAAGGAAUCUAUGUGUGAAACUGCUUUGUGAUGUGUGGAAUCAUCUCAAAAACGUAAAUAUUCUUUAGAUUCGGCAGAUGGGAGCAUUCUUCUUGGUGAAAUUGUGAAGGAAUAUUUGGGAGACAAUUGAGGACUUUGGGGAAAAACUGAAUAUCCCCAGAUAAAAACUACAAGGAAGCUAUCUGUAAAACUGUUUUGUGAUGUGUGGAUUCAUCUCAUGAAGUUUAACCUUUCCUUUGAUACAGCAGGUAGAAAACUCUCUUUUUGCAGGAUCUGUGAAAAUACAUAUUUGAGCCCAUUGAGGUGUAUGUGGCAACAUUGAAUAUCUGCAGACAAAAACUAGAAAGAAGUUCUCGGUGAAACUGCAUUGUGAUGUUUGGAUUCAUCUCACAGAGUUAAACCUUUCUUUUGAUUCAGCAGGUUGUAAACACUCUUUUUGGAGAAUCUGUGAAGGGACAUAUUGGAGCCCAUUGAGGCCAAAGGGGAAAAAAUUCAAUGUGCUCAGAUAAAAACUAGAAAGAAGCUGUCUGUGAAACUGCUUUGUGACUUGUGGAUUCCCUGCACAGAGUCUAAACUUUGUUUUGAUUUCUCAGGUUGGAAACACUCUUUUUGGAAAAUCUAUGAGAGGACAUUUGGGAGGCCAUUGAGGCCUGUGGGGAAAAACCAAACAUCCCCAGAAUAAAAACUAGAAAGAAUCUAUCUGUGAAACCACUUUUUGAUAUGUGGACUCUUGUCACAGACUUAAAUCUUUCUCUUGAUUCAGCAGAUUAGAAUCACUCCUUUUGGAGAAUCUGUGAAGGGACACUUGUAGCCCAUUGAGGCCUAAGGGGAAUAACAAAACAUCCCCAGAUAAAAACAAGAAAGAAGCUAUCUUUGAAACUGCUUACUGAUGUAUUGAUUCAUCCCACAGAGUUUAACAUUUCAUCUGGUUCAGCAGGUGAGAAACACUCUUUGGAGAAUCUGGAAGAGACAUUUUAGAGCCUCAUUGAAUUUUAUGGGACAAAACUGAAUAUCUGCAAAUAAAAACUAGAAAGAAGCUCUCUGUGAAUCUGCUUUGUGAUAUGUGGAUUCAUCUCACAGAGUUAAACCUUUCUUUUGAGUCAGCAGGUAGAAAACAUUCUUCUGGAGAAUCCUCAAAGGGAUAUUGCAGAACCCUUUGAGGCCUAUGGGGAAAAAUGUAAUAUCACCAGAUAAAAACUAGAAAGAAGCUACUUUUGAAACAACUUUGUAAUGUGUGGGUUCUUCUCACAGAGAUAAAACUUUCUUUUCAUUCAGCAAUUUGGAAACACUGUUUUUGUACAUUCUGUGAAUGGACAUUUGGGAACAACUUGAGGACUAUGGUGAAAAAUAAAUUAUCUUCAGAUAAAAAUUAGAAGGAAGCUUUCUGAUGAACUGCUUUGUGAUGUGUGCACUCAUAUCAGACAUGUAAAUCUUUCUUUUGAUUCAGCAGUUUGGAAACACAGUUUUUCUCCAUUUUGUGAAUGGACAUUGGGAGCUCAUUGAGGGCAAAAGUGAAAAAGUGAAUAAACCAGGUUAAAAAUGAGAAGAACAAUAUCUGAGAAACUGCUUUGUGAUUUGUGCAUUCCUCUUGCUGAGUAAAUCCUUUCUUUUCAUUCAGCAGUUUGGAAACACAGGUUUUGUAGAAUCUUCUAAGGGAUAUUCAGAAGCACAUUGAGGCCUAUGGUGAAAAAGGAAUUAUUUUCAGAUAAAAACUAGAAAGAAGUUUUUUCAGAAACUGCUUUGUGUGUGUGAAUUCAUCUUACAGAUUUAAACCUUUCUUUUGAUUCGGCAUUUUGUAAACACUUUUUCCAUUCUGCAAAUGGGUAUUUGGGUGCUCAUUGAGGCCAAUGGCAAAAAAGAGAUUAUCCCAAGGUAAAAACUAGAAGAAGGUAUCUGAGAAAACACUUUGUGAUGUGUGAAUUCAUCUCACAGAGUUAAACCAUUCUUUUGAUUCAGCAGUUUGGAAACACCAUUUUUGUGCAAUCUGUGAAUGGACAUUUGGGAGCUCAUUGAGGCCAAUGGUGAAAAAGCGAAUAUGCCAGGACAAAAACUAGAAGGAAGAUAUCUGAGAAACUGCUUUGUGAUGUGAGCAUUCAUCUCACACAGUGAAAUUUUUCUUUACCUUCAGCAGUUUGGAAACAGUGUUUUUGGGGAAUCUGCAAAGGGAUAUUUGGGAGCACAUUGAGGUCUAUGGUGAAAAAAAGAAAAUAAUUUCAGAUAAAAACAAGAAAGAAGCUUUCUGAGAAACUGCUUUGUGGUGUGUGCAUUUGUCUCACAGAGAUAAGCCUUCCUUUUGAUUCAGCAGCUUAGAAACACAGUGUUUGUCCAUUCUGGGAAUGGACAUUUGGGAGAUCACUGAAUCUAAUGGCAAAAAAGCAAAUAUCCCAGGAUAAACAACAAGAGGAAGCUAUCUGAGAAAGAACGUUGUGAUAUGGGAAUUCAUCUCCCAGAGUUAAACCUCUCUCUGAAGUUAGAAGCACUGUUUUUGUACAUUCUGUGAAUGGACAUUUGAAAGUGCAUAGAGACCCAUAAUGUAAAAGGAAAUAUCUUCUGACAAAAAAUUGAAGGAAGCAUUGUGAGAACAUUCUUUGUGAUGUGUGCAUUCAUCUCACAGAAGUAAACUUUUCAUUCGGCAGUUUGGAAACACUUUUUUUGUACUGUGAAUGGACAUUCGGAAGUGCACUGAGGCUAUUGUGAAAAAAAUCUUCUGAUUGAAAGUAGAAAGAAACUUCGUGAGAAACUGCUUUUUGAAGUGUGCAUUCAUUUCACAUAGGUAAACCUUUCUUUUCAUUCAGAAGUUUGGAAACACUGUUUGUAGAAACUGCAUAGGGAUAUUUGGGAGUGCAUUAACACCUAUGAUGUAAAAGAAAAUAUCUUCCAAUAAAAACUAGAAGGAAGCUUUCUCAUAAACUGCUUGUGAUCUGUGCAUUCAAAUCACAGGGUUAAACAUUUCUUCUGAUUCAGCAUCUUGGAAACAGUGAUUAAUCCAUUCCACAAAUGGACAUUGGGAGCUCAUUGAGGCCAAUAGCGAAAAAGUGAACAUACCAUGUUCAAAACUAGAAGGAAGCUAUUUGAGAAACUGUUUUGUGAUGUGUGCAUUCAUCUCACCAAGUAAAACCUUUCUUUUAUUUCAGCAGUUUGGAAACACCAUUCUGUAGAAACUUCUAAGGGAUAUUCAGAAACACAUUGAGGUCAAUGGUGAAAAAGGAAAUAUCUUCAGAUAAAAACUAGAAAGAAGCUUUCUGAGAAACUACUUUGUGAUGUGUGAAUGCAUCUCACAGUGUUAAACUUUUCUUUUGAUUCAGCAUUUUGGAAAAACUGUUUUUGUCCAUUCUGCAAAUGGACAUUUUUGUGCUCAUUGAGGCCAAUGGCGAAAAAGGGAAUAUUCCAAGAUAAAAACUAGAAGGAAGCUAUCUGAGAAAUCACAUUGUGAUCUGUGCAUUCAUCUCGCAGACUUAAUCCUUCUUUUCAUUUAGCAGUUUGGAAACACUGUUUUUGUAGAAUCUGCAAAGGGAUUCAGGAGUUUGGAAACACUGUUUUUCUAUUGUCUGCAAAGGGAUAUUUCGGAGUGCAUUGAGGCCUAUGGUGAAAAAUAAAAUAUCUUUAGAUAAAAAUAAGAAACAAGCAUUUUGAGAAACUGCUUUAUGAUGUGUGGUUUCAUUUCGUAGAGUUAAAUAUUUCUUUACAUUCAGGAGUUUGGAAACACCGUUUUUGUAGAAUCUGUGAAGGGUUAUUUGGGAGCACAUAGAAGCCUAUAGUGAAAAGGAAAAUAUCUUAGGAUAAAACCUAGAAAAAAACUUUAUGAGAAACUGCUUUGUGAUGUGUGCAUUCACCUCACAGUUAAACUUUCUUUUGAUUUAGCAGUUUGGAAACACUGUUUUUUUCCAUUCUGUGAAUGGAUAUUUGGGAGCUCAUUGAAACCAAUGGUGAAAAAAUGAAUAUCCCUGGAUAAAAACGAUAAAGAAGCUGUAUGAGAAACUGCUUUAUGAUGUGUGCUUUAAUUUUGCAGAGUUAAAUAUUUCUUUACAUUCAGGAGUUUGGAAACACUGUUUUUCUAUUAUCUGUGAAGGGAUAUUUGGGACUACAUUGAGGCCUAUGGUGGAAAAGAAAAUAUCUUCAGAUAAAAAUAAGAAACAAGCAUUUGGAGAAACUGCUUUGUGGGAUUUACAUUCAUUUCACAGAGAUAAACUAUCCGGUUGAUUCAGCAGUUUGGAAACCCUGUUUUUGUCCAUUCUGCAAAUGGACAUUUGAGAGGUCAUUGAGGCCAAUGGGAAGAAAGUGAAUAUCCUAGGAUAAAAACUAGAAGAAAGCUAUCUGAGAAACCGUUUUUGAUGAGUGCAUUCAUCUCACAGAGUUAAACUUCUCUUUUCAUUCAGGAGAUUGGAAACAUUGCCUUUGCAGAAUCUGUGAAGGGAUAUUUGGGAGCACAAUGAGGCCUCUGAUGAAAAAAAAAUCUUCAUAUAUAAACUAGAAAGAAACUCUCUAAGAAACUGUGGGCAGUUAGGAAACAUUGUUUUUGUCCAUUCUGCAAAUGGACAUUUGGGAGCUCAUUGAGGCCAAUGGUGAAAAAUGGAAUAUCGCAUGAUAGAAACUAGAAGGAAGUGACCUGAGAAACGACUUUGUGAUGUGUACAUGCAUCUCACAGAGUUAAGCCUCUCUUUUCAUUCAGCAGAUUGCAAACACUGUUUUUGUAAAAUCUGUGAAGGGAUAUUUUGAAGAACACUCGGGCCUGUGAUAAAAAAAAAUCUUCAAAUAAAAACUAGAAAGAAGCUAUCUGAGAAACUGCUUUGUGAUGUGUGCAUUCAUCUCACAAAGUUAAACCUUUCCUUGGAUUUAGCAGUUUUGAAACACUGUUUUUGUCUAUUCUGAGAAUGUACAUUUUGGUCCUCAUUGAGGCCAAUGGCAAAAAAGUGAAUAUCCCAGGAUAAAAACUAUAAGGAAACGAUCUGAGGAACUGCUUUGUGAUGUGUGCAUUCAUCUCGCUGAAUAAAACCUAUCUCUUCAUUCAUCAGUUUUGCAACCCUGUUUUUGUAGGGUCUACGAAUGGGCAUUUCGGUGCUCAUUGAGGCCAAUGGCAAUAAAGCAAAUAUUCCAGGAUAAAAAAAUCCAAGGAAGGUAUCUGAGAAACCACUUUCUGAUGUGUGCAUUCAUCUAAUAGAGUUAAACAUUUCUUUUCAUACAGCAGUUUGGAAACACUGUUUAUGUAGAAUCUGCAAGGGAUAUUUAGGAGCCCAUUAGGCCUAUGGUGAAAAAGAAAACAUCUUCAGAUAAAAUCUAGAAAGUAGAUUUCUGAGAAACUGCUUUGUGAUGUGUGCAUUCAUCUGACAGAGUUAAGCCUUUCUUUAAAUUCAACAGUUUGGAAACAGUCUUUUUCCUCUCACAGAUUUAUAUUUUUUCUUUUCAAUCAGCAGUUUGGAAAUACUGUUUCUGUAGAAUCUGCUAAGAGAUAUUUGGGAGCUUAUUAAGGCCUGUGCUGGAAAAGGAAACAUCUUCAGAUAUAAACGAGAAAGAAUCUUUCUGAGAAACUGCUUUGGGGUGUGUGCAUUCAUCUCACAGUGUUAAACCUUUCUUUGGAUACAGCAGUGUGGAAACACUCUUUUUGUCCAUUCUGUGAAUGGACAUUUUGGAGCUUAUUGAAGCCAACAGUGAAAAAGUGAAUAUCCCAGGAUAAAAACUUGAAGGAAGCUAUCUGAGAAAUCGCUGUGUGAUAUGUGCAUUCAUCUCACAGAGUUAAAGCUCUCUUUUAAUUCAGCAGUUUGGAAACACUGUUUUUGUAGAAUCUGUGAAGGGCUAUUUGGGAGCCCUUUGGGGCCAAUGGUGAAAAAGGAAAAAUCUUCAGAUAAAAAGUGGAAAGAAGUUUUCUGAGAAACUGCUUUGUGAUGUGUGCAUUCAUCUCACAGAGUUAAAACUUUCGUUGGAUUCAGGAGUUUGGAAACACUGUUUUUAUCCAUUCUACAAAUGGACAUUUGGGAACUCAUGGAGGCCAAUGGCAAAAUGGCAAAUAUCCCAGGAUAAAAACUAGAAGGAAGCUAUCUGAGAAACCGCUUUGGUAUGUGUACAUUCGUCUCACAGAGUGAAAACUUUCUUUUCAUUCAGCAGUUUGGAAACACUGUCUUAAUCCAUUCUGCGAAUGGACAUUUUGGAGCUCAUUGAGGCCAAUGGUGAAAAACAGAAUAUUUCAGGUUAAAAACUAGAUGGACCCACUCUGAGAAAACUCUUUGUGAAGUGUGCAUUCAUCUUGUAGACUUAAAGUUUUCUUUUCAGUCAGCAGUUUGAAAACAAGUUUUGUCGUAUCUGGGAAGGGAUAUUUGGGAUCACAUUGAGGCCUAAGGUGAAAAAUGAAACAUCUUUAGAUAAAAACUAGAAAGAAGGUUUCUGAGAAACUGCGUCCUGAUGUGUGCAUUCAUCUCAAAGAGUUAAAUCUUUCUUUGGAUUCAUCAGUUUGGAAACACGCUUUUAGUCCACUCUGCGGAUGGUCAUUUUGG
rnacentral:lncRNA from 10 species